UCAUACAUGGUAAUUUCUGCUCGGUGAGACAUUUAACAGCCGCAGUACCCUGACUGUGCUAAGGUAGCAUAAUUAUUUGGCUUUUAAUUGAAGUCUUGUAUGAACGAAUACAUGGGGGUCUCCUUUACCAUUAAUAUAAUAUGAAGUUACUAAGUGAGUGCAAAUACUCACAAUUAAAUAAAAGACGAGAAGACCCUAGAAAUUUAUACAUUUUGUUGGGGCAACAUAGUUACAUUUAAUUUACUAUAAGUAUAUGACAUAUUGUUGGCAAGUUUAAAUUACUCUAGGGAUAACAGCAUAAUAUUUAAAUGUUUGUGACCUCGAUGUUGGACUAGGAAUUUAAAGCUUAGAAAGCUUAGAAGAAUGCUCUGUUCGAGCA
rnacentral:rRNA from 1 species